AAGGCUUAGGAUCCGGUUAUGCUUCUGUCACCUAAUGGCUCAACUUGAAGUUCUGCACCAGCUCUCUGUUUCCUCAAUGACCGCCCUCCUGACUGGGGCGAGACAGAAGCUCAAUAAGAAUCCUGAGUCAACAUUUCACAGAGAGACUUGCACAUCAGCGUUUGCUGCGGUACUGCUCACAAUGGCCAAGUUCUGGAUCCAGUCUAGGUGUCCAUCAAUAAAGGAAUAAAUGAAAAAAAUGUAA